rnacentral:lncRNA from 1 species
ACCCACUUCAUUAAAAAUCCCGAUUCACCAUUACAACAUUGACUUCAGCAACGAUUGCCUCAGUCUUUCCAAAAUUCUAUGAAGAAGAAAAAUCCAAUUCUCCGUCUUUUCUUCCCCGACCCGAAGCAUGAAGCUCCUCUCCAAUCCCCUUGAUCUUCAAAAACCUCCAAUGAAACCGAACUAGUAACCUUGAAAAGAGCUUGAAGCUAGCUCUUCGAUCCAAAAA